rnacentral:misc_RNA from 1 species
CUCGCGAGAAUGGCUACCGGUGGUUGUCGGUCACUUAGUUUAAAAUACAGAAAGACGAUAAAUAAAUGGUUUCUAAAUAAAAUGAGAUAUUAUUGUAAUCAGAAUGUUCCUAAUUACGCCGUGGACGAAGCAAAAUGGGAAAGUGUCGUCGGUUUAGAAAUUCACGCUCAAAUUUCGUCGCGUUCAAAACUUUUUUCUCGAUCGUCUACCGAAUUUGCCGCUCUUCCUAACAGUCGAGUGUCGUUUUUCGAUGCCGCAUUGCCCGGAACUUUACCGGUUUUGAAUCGUUCCUGCGUGGAAAGUGCAGUUUUAACAGCUCUGGCACUUGGAUGUACCGUACAUAAAGUCUCGCUUUUCGAUAGGAAACAUUAUUUUUAUGUUGAUUUGCCGGCAGGUUACCAAAUCACUCAGCAGAGAAAACCCAUUGCCACUGAUGGAAAAUUAGAAUUUGUCGUCUAUAAUUCUGCAGUUUACAAAUCGCCUUUCCUGUGUUCCUCCCGCAUUAAACAAUUGCAGUUAGAACAAGACAGUGGCAGAAGUCUGCACGAUGUCGAUGAUGGUCGAACUCUGGUAGAUUUAAACAGAGCCGGAAUAGGACUGAUGGAAAUAGUAUUUGAACCGGAUCUCAGAAAUGGAGAAGAGGCAGCCGGAUUGAUUAGAGAACUUCAAAAAAUCUUGCAAUGUUUGGGAACGUGUUCUGGUUACAUGAAUGAAGGUGCAAUGAGAAUUGAUGCUAAUAUAUCUGUCAAUAGACCUGGAGAACCAAUGGGAAUAAGAACAGAAUUAAAAAAUAUUAACAGUGCCCGUUAUGUUGCCAAAGCUAUUGAUUUUGAAAUAAAACGUCAGAUUAGAUUAUUAGAAGCUGGAGAAAAUAUAAAAAAUGAAACAAGAAAGUAUGAUCAUGUAAUAAAGGAGACUGUUUUAAUGAGAGAGAAAGAAAAUGUACAAGAUUAUAGAUAUAUGCCAGAACCAAAUCUACCACCUCUUAGGUUAUAUGACGAUUUGGAUAAAGAGAAUUUUAAAUUUUCUUCGGAUACUAUUAACAUUGAUCAUCUGCGAGAAAACAUUCCGUUACUACCAGCUGAUGAGAGAAAAUAUCUAAUUGAAAAAUACAAGCUUCCGUUGAGAUCUGCAUUACUUUUAAUGAAUGAGGAUUUACAAGAAUUAUUCAAAGAAGUGGCCACAGGAAUUAAAUGCAAUAUGAAAUUUGUAUCUCAUAUAUUAUUGACAGAUAUUUUAUCACAACUUAACAAACGGAAGUUAAAAACCAGUGAAAUAUUAAUUUCCAUAGACAGAAUUCAAGAAUAUAUUGAAAUGAUUGACAACAAAAUAGUGACAGCCGCAAAAGCAAAAGAUGUCUUACAAUUGAUGUUUGAUGGCGAUUCUCGUUUUCCCAUAGAAAUUGUUCGGGAAAAUAACUGGACAAUGAUUUCAAAUUUAGAAGAGUUAAAAAAGUUUUGCUCUGAAGUGAUAAAAAAGAAUCCAAAUUUGGUUAAAAAAUAUCAGAAUGGAAAAAGUAAGUUUCUAUCAACUCUUGUAAAUGAAGUCAAGAAAACAUCUGAAAAUAGAGCAAAUGUACAGAUGGUGGAAGAAAUCUUAAUAACCAUGUUGAAUUCUUAAAACAGAAUUAUUUACAUAAAAAAACCUAUAUUCAGGGCUCCCACCAGAAACUAAAAAGUAGGAAAACUUUUUAAAGUAAAUAUGAUACUGAAAUAUUGCUUUUCUUAAUGUAAUAAGAAAUGAACAUCAAUGGCACUUAAUUCUUUCAUUUAUUCCCAUAGUUUCUAAAUAUGGAGUUCAGAUGCAAAAUGUAAUAUGUCCAUUAAGAAAAACUCGAUGUAUUGCUUAGAUUUUAGUUAAAUCUACACUCUUGGCAUGUUAUUAUUUGUAUGAAUCGUCAUAUUUUGUAAGCAAAUGCACUUUAGUAAGUUUUAAUUUAACAAUCUAAUUCCCAUUUCCUUUUUUCAUAGAUAAGUUCAUUACUUCAAUUUUUUUAAAUAAUAGACAUAUUACCUUUUGUAUCUGGACUCCUUAAAUACAUUCUAUAAUUAUAUCAUAGAAUGAUUAGCUGACUAAGGAGGCAUUAUUAGCUACUUGAAAUGCAUUUUAAGACAGUAAAAUUUCAUUGUGUCAAGUCAUGGAUUGAUUUGUAAUCUUCAGUUAAAAGAAGAAACGAGUUUAUUUUUUUCAGAUUUACUAUCAUCACAUGUAUUGUCAUAUUCGAAGACAGAGCAAGUAUGUCUUGUAAGUACAGUAAUUGUAAAUUAAUUUAUGAAAUUUAGUAGAAAUUUAGCUGGUCACUUACCAUAUUAAGUGACCAGUUGUAAUUCCCCUAAUUGUUUCUUAGAUAACAAUCAUUAAUUUCUUUUUAUUAACUUAAUUUCCAGGAGUAAAAUUUAAGUGAACAAAACUAAAAAUUUUGCAUUGCAAAUGGAGUCUGUCCUCAAGGUCCAACCAAAACAAACUUUACACGCAAAAAGUAGACAAAUAGCCCUAUUGUGUUUUGAUCAAAACAGAACUUUUAAAUAAUAUCUUGAGAAUUAUAAAACUAAUCAAGUAAAUUUAAUGAAUAAACCUUAAUAUGAUAAUUUUAUAUUUCCUUUAGAGGAUGAUAGGUCAGAAGGGCAUAUUAACUAAAUUUGACAUUUCAUAAUAAAUCAAAAAAGUGGAGCCAAAAGUGAAUGUUUUGUACCAACCAAAAUGUUGAAAAUCACAUUUAAUUAAAAUAGCAUUUACAUAGUUUCCUAAUUGUCUUUUCUUCUGUAAAUUCACAUUUUAGUUUAUAUGUUCUGACCUUUGAUCACCCUUGGUUAUUAAAUGAAUUUAACAUUUAAUUAAAAGUUUAUCCUUUUCUGCAAAAGCAUUUUAAGUUGAAAGUGAAUUUUCUGUAUUGAUAGAAACUAUUUAUUAUUUUUCAGUAAGAAUAUUUGAUGUCAAAAUUUCAUUAUCAAUAUCUUUUCCAUCAAUAAAUGUAAUAUCAUUCACUGCAUUACAAAUUCUAAACAUGAUCUAGAGAACUGAUGAAAGAAAUUUGCAUUCAAGGAGAUAAUCUAGAAAAAUUAAUCACCUCUAACAUUGAAUCUUUUAAAGAAAUGAAUGAAUGAUUUCAUUUUUUCUUUCCUGGCUGUUAUGUAUGGCAAUCGAUCAAAAAUGACCCUCCAAGAUUUUUGGACACUUUUGGACUCCGGAUACCUUGGAUCUUUGAGAAAUAGAAAAUAAUUCGGGGAUUGUUAAUGUGUUACGAUUUUGUUUAACCUCUUUGAAGCUUAAUAAUGCCUGUGCUUUGUUGAAAAUUUCUGAAAUUUUGCAGGACUUGAUGAUGAUUUUAUUUAUUAGCAUUUAUAAUUUUUUAUAAAACCUAUCCCUACCCUCAAAAUUAAACAUUUUGCCAUUUUUAAUAGAAUAUAACAGGCGGUGCUACCGAAUGUUGCCGGGGAAAGUUAAUCAACUCAUUGCUGGAUUUUUUGUUCCUUGAUUGGCAAAAGGUCUUAAAUGGAUCAGAUUCCAAAGUUAAAAAUUAAUAGUUAUAGAAAGUCUAUUCGUUGAUGGUUGUGUGACAUCCAAAGAAGGGAGUGAAAAAAACAAAGAGAAUAAUUAGAAGUAAUAAUAAUUAAAUAAAUUAAGAAUUAAUUUUUUUCGAUGUAGAAAUCGGAGAUCAAAAGGUCAAAUGAGGAAAGGAUGACAAAACCCACACACUUCCUAUUUCGUCUGAUUUUGAAACUGAUAAAGUCGAUCAUCUGAUCAUACAAAGUAAGAAUUAUUACUAAGGUUGCAAGACAAACUCUGACCUUAGUCACCUCCAGCCAUUAAUUCAGUUUGUUUGACAGCUGUUAUCAAAUUUAUGAGGUAGAAUGAGUAAUCAUACCAGAUAGAAAGAGGUAAUAAAUUUGUUGAAAUGUUCAAUUUCUGACAAUUAACAUAAACAACACCCGGACACAAAUCGAACUUAGAAUGGGUUACAUCAUACAUAGCAUUAGUCAGCUCUACCAAAAAUGGGUAUAAAAAGUGCUUGGACACAGUCUUCAUGCGGACAUCAACAGUGGACACCAGACCUGUCCCGCCAUAAUUGCUGUCUCUCUGCCAAGAUGAUCCUGACCUGAAUGAAAGGAAGACUACUGGUCAACUAUGCCAAUCCAGGAGUGUUUCACUGACAUCCCAUACAAUGAGAUCAGGAACCAUCGAUCUAUGAGAAUAAUAGCAGAAUGAGAAAGGAGACAAAAUAUCAAGCAAUUAAAGCAUUAGAAGAGGAGAAAAAUCACAUAGAUGUUUGUAACCAGUUAAGAGGCUAUAUACAUAUGUGCACAUGCAAGUAGAGUGUUCACUUAAACAUCUAUCCAGAGGGAAAAAUGAUCUUUUCAGCAUAGGUUAGGUUGUGGACUGCAGCAGACAAAAAUACGCUAUGUAUUAUUCUGCCAUAAUAAACAUACCCAUUCUGCUGCUAUCUGUAGCCAGCACAACAUGCAGAAGAUGCUGCACAUCAAUUUGAAAUGCAGUGUGGUGUUAAAUUUACAGCAUGAUUUACCACAACUACUUCAGCAAAUUUUAUAGACCAACAAGGCACUAUUUUUCCAGAAUGGAGUAUAUAAUUGUCACAAUGUACCAUACAUUAUAGGGCAGAGGCAUGCUUCACGCUUCACAAUAUAUGUAACACCAAGUGUUUUAACCUAAAUACCUUGUGUGGAAUUUGGGAUGAACAGUUUCUUAGUCCUAUAUUCACUGAUGGCAUCCUUAAAAGUGACCAAUAUCUGAACAUCCUAAACAUAAUGGUGGAUAAAUGGCUGGAUGACUUGUUAUUAACACAACAGGUCUGUGAUAUAGUGACAUCAGAUCCAUACAUGCCAUCCAUAGCAUCAUGCUCAAGUGUCUACAUCUUUGUUCAAAAUGACUGCCUUCAGCAGCAAUACAUUUUCUCUAACAAAAUAAAGCCAACAUUGCAGAAUUUGAUUUAAAAAGUGAGCUUUAUAGUCAGAUUAUUUGUAUGUUAUGCUAUAAAUCAUAUUAAACUGAUUCCCUCUGGUUAUUUUAAUGCUGGAGCAAGCAUGCACAAGAUGUAUACACUUGUGCAAUGCUGAAAAGAUACUUUUUGCUCCUGGAUAGAUGUUUAAGUGGACACCCUGUAUACCUAUGGUAUUGCAAUGCUAUCAAGAAUAACCCAAUUUUCCUAGUAUUGAUCAUGAUAUAGUUAAAGAUUUUUCUUUAAUCUGAACAAUUCAUCAAAGAUAUAGAUAUUGAUUUUAUUCCAUCAAUGGUUUACCUACAAGCACAUUUGUGGUAAAAAGUGCUGUUAUAUUGCAAAAUAGAAAAUUGGAAAAAGCAAACUCAAACUAUCCUAGAAGAAAAUUGUCCUACUAGGAAAAUAAUGCCAAUGAACUGACUUAUUUUUCAAGUGUGCCCUGAAUAAAACUUAUCACUUUCAACUAUGUUUGCAGCCAUUAGAACAGUUAUGUGGUCUUUUGGUUGUUUUCCUCCUUUACAUGUAUAAGAUCAGUUUAUUUGGCUUUUUUUAUUUUCCAAUGAUGUUUCAAGAAUGUAAAACAACUUUCUUUAGCUUAUAGUGCAAACAGAAAGACUUGGAUGUUUUUGCCAGUGUUUGCAGCAUAGCUAUACCAGUUUGAUCUUAAAAUGGUAAGGCUCUAACUGCUCUGUAUAUCCAUAUGUCUGGGACUUGGCAAUCAAACUGAUUUUUCUCCUCUCCGACUUGCCCUAUUUAUGUCAACUUUUUCCUUAUGAGCAUCAUGUGAUAGUAAAAUUUUACUAAUUGCAUGACAUCAGGGAAGUUCAAAUUGUAACUUUUGCCAGCUUCAAGAUUAAAAAUAAUUCCUUGAUGCAUGGGUUAAGACAAAAACUGUUUGUAACUGUUUUGAGUGUACCUUCCAGAUAUUAACAUCACUUCAUUUGAUCAGGAUGAUGAUCCCAAAUUCUACUCAGUUAUUGAAAUGCAACAGAAAGAGUUUGAGAAAGAAACAAUUGUAGUUGAUGAUUGAGCUGUAUGUUCUGCACUGUGCACAAAUGAAAAAAAAGCUUAGAUAUUGUAAUCAACACCCAUUGAACCAAAGAUGAGGAAGGAAAAAAUAAUCUAUUAUACCAUCUACUGUAAAAAACUUUAAAUGUAUUUUCUAAGAAUGUAAAUAGCAUCUUAUUGUCAAAUGAUGAUGGAAAAUAUUCUUUGCCAUAUUAACAUUGUUGGAAAUACAACUGAAAAAAUUGAAGCGAUGGGAAUUUCUUUUUAUUCGUUAAACAUACAAAAGUUACUCAUAAUUGACAUAAAGAAAAUAUUAUUUCUACAUCAGAAACUAAACUGUUUGCAUCUUUCAGAAAAAAAAAUUCUAUUUAAACAACUAAUUUAUAAUUGACAUUAUAUUCAAAAAUGAUACUUCUGGUGUUGUUUUCAAAAUAAAUAAUUUAUAUUGCACAAAGUUGUCAAAAAUUAUGGUAUAAUUGCAAAGCACACAUGGAAAAUCUGAUAUAAAUUUUUAUGGUGGAAAAAACAAAUUUAACAGAAAGAAUAUAGAAAGAAGAUAAUUUAAAUUUAACAGAAAGAAUAUAGAAAGAAGAUAAUUUAAAAUGGUCAAAAACAUUAGCAAGUUUUGCUGGAUUGAUAUGGCAUUAGGUGUAUUAUAUAUACUUUUAUCCAGUUUGUUCAUUUUGUUAUGAAGAAAAUAUACUUCAUUUAUAUUAAAACAAUAUUUUACAAAGAGAAAUAAAACAUUAUGAAUUAAACAUAGAAUAUACGUAUUUCAAACUGAUAUAUUUAAUAAACUGUAAGACAUACAACUAUGGAACUUGGGACACAUAUUUAUGAAACACUCUAGUUUAGAUUACAGGUGUUCAAUAUGUCCUCCACCAGCGACAUGAACGGUCUGGGCUUCAUAACUAACCUGCGUCUCAAAACACGCCAAACUGUUGUUUUAGGCAGCUGCAAUUCCCGACUGGCACGACGUGUUGAUUUUGAAGGGCUACGUUGGUAAGCAGCUUGAAUCCGUGCGACGUUUUCUUCAGAUACACGAGGUCGGCCAGGACUCUUUCCUUUACAUACACAACCUGUGUCAACAAACUGACGGUACCAUCUGCGAAUGUUCCAUCCAUUCGGAGGAUCAAUUUCGUACCUCAACCGGAAACGUCUUUGCACUGUAAUCACGGAAUUACACUUCGCAAGCUCAAGAAUACAAAAGCUUUUGUGCUGUGGCGUAGCCAUUUUACAACAACUGUGAAUACGUCAUUGUAACCAAGCACAACUGACAUCUGGGGACAAACUAGACAAUGCACUCAUUCCUCCGAUACCCGCAGCACACUGCUACUAUCGAUAGUUUAAUAAAUAUAUCAGUUUGAAAUACGUAUAUUCUUUUUGGUCCAUCCUGUAUU